UAGCUUGAGAAAAAUGUUCACUCUUGCUUAUGUGAAGCUUGGGUAAGAUGCAGGUCGAGAGGCAUCUCGUUAGGCGUCUGGACCCCUGAGGCGAAGUGGUUACUGAGUUAUUUUGUUGUGCAGUGUUGUAUAUGUAUGUACUUAGUUUUCUCUCCGCAUAACUUAUUCUUUUGAUCCUCUUAGAGGUUUAUGGAGAGGCAGGAUUUUGUUUAUGUACAUUUGGGUUUUGGAUAUGUAUAUAUAUGUGUAAAUAUUCUCCGGCUAGUCUUGACUUCACGGGUUGAGUUAGGAGGUUGUUAUUUCG